rnacentral:rRNA from 1 species
UACGGGGGGAGCAAGCGUUGUUCGGAUUUACUGGGCGUAAAGGGCGCGUAGGCGGUCAGCACAAGUCAGUUGUGAAAUCUCCGGGCUUAACUCGGAAAGGUCAACUGAUACUGUGCGACUAGAGUGCGGAAGGGGCAACUGGGAAUUCUCGGUGUAGCGGUGAAAUGCGUAGAUAUCGAGAGGAACACCUGCGGCGAAGGCGGGUUGCUGGGCCGACACUGACGCUGAUGCGCGAAAGCCAGGGGAGCGAACGGG